rnacentral:rRNA from 1 species
UACGAAGGGGGCUAGCGUUGUUCGGAAUUACUGGGCGUAAAGGGCGCGUAGGCGGCUGUGCAAGUCAGGUGUGAAAGCCCUGGGCUCAACCCAGGAUGUGCACUUGAUACUGCACGGCUAGAGUGUCGGAGAGGAUGGUGGAAUUCCCAGUGUAGAGGUGAAAUUCGUAGAUAUUGGGAAGAACACCGGUGGGCGAAGGCGGGUUCUCUGGGACGGUACUGGACGCUGAGACGCGAAAGCCGUGGGGGAGCGAACAGG